GGAUUUUGUUAGUGAUGAGAGAGGGCUUGCGAUCCAGCGCCAAAUUGUUGGCGAAAACUGACGAUGGUGAGUCGUCGCCUUGCCAAGCAACCGUUAAAAUGGAGGUAGACAGUACUGAAGAAAGGGGCUUCAACUCGGCUGCUGAGAGCACCCCAAAAUUGGUUGCUUCUUGGACUGAAAAAGAUAUAUUAGUUUCUGCCCCAAAAGAAGAAACAGAGAUGAAUCAGAUUGAUGGGUCAAGUUAUGGGGAAUGUGGUACUGGGAGAGAUACUGGUGAAGAUAUCGUUGUGAAGUGUUCCAAUAAUUUGUGGAAAAGAAGUAGAAUAGAUGAUGAGGGAGAGAGUGAAGAUGAUAGUGUCAAAAAACAGAGGGUGAAGGAUGAUGCAGUGGAUGGUGAAUUGCAGGUUGUUGGCAGGGUGCUGCGGUCAGGGUCUACAGUGAAAUCUGAUGGUGGGCAAAAAGAUGAAGGGGGACAAAGUAAUGAUGCUUUUGUUGGGAAAAAGACCAGGAGAGGUGCUUUUGAGGAGAAGAGGGCCACGGUGCAAAAAGAAGAGAGUGGUUAUUUUGAUGGCAGGGACAGUUAUCAGUCAGGUAGUAUGAAGGGGAAAAAAUUAGUACGCAAGCGUGGGAGGCCUCCCAAGUCUUUGAAGUAUGAGUUUCAGGAAAAAUGGAGUGAUGUGAUAAAGGAAGAUAUUGAACAAUCUGCUGGUCGAAAGGGUGUGAAAAGAUUAAAGAUUCAGCGUGGACGGCCUCCCAAGGCACUGGAGAAUUAUGAGUCUGAGAAAAAGUGGGGUGACGUGGAAAAGGAAGGGAUUGGUUUA
rnacentral:misc_RNA from 1 species